rnacentral:rRNA from 1 species
AACGUGGGCGGCGCGCCUAACACAUGCAAGUCGAGCGAGAAAGGGGAGCAAUCCCUGAGUACAGCGGCGUACGGGUGAGUAACACGUGGGUAAUCUACCUCUUGGUGGGGAAUAACUCUGGGAAACCGGAGCUAAUACCGCAUAAGUUCGCAAGAAGAAAGUCGCAAGACGCCGAGAGAGGAGCCCGCGGCCGAUUAGCUAGUUGGUGGGGUAAAGGCUCACCAAGGCAAAGAUCGGUAGCCGGCCUGAGAGGGCACACGGCCACACUGGCACUGAAACACGGGCCAGACUCCUACGGGAGGCAGCAGUGGGGAAUCUUGCACAAUGGAGGAAACUCUGAUGCAGCGACGCCGCGUGAGCGAUGAAGCCCUUCGGGGUGUAAAGCUCUUUCGACGGGAACGAUUAUGACGGUACCCGGAGAAGAAGCUGCGGCUAACUACGUGCCAGCAGCCGCGGUAAUACGUAGGCAGCAAACGUUGUUCGGAAUUACUGGGCGUAAAGAGUGUGUAGGCGGUUUGGCAAGUUUGGUGUGAAAUCUCCCGGCUUAACUGGGAGGGUGCGCCGAAAACUGCCGGGCUAGAGUAUUGGAGAGGAAAGCGGAAUUCCUGGUGUAGCGGUGAAAUGCGUAGAUAUCAGGAGGAACACCGGUGGUGUAGACGGCUUUCUGGACAAUUACUGACGCUGAGACACGAAAGCGUGGGGAGCAAACAG